GUGAGGAAUAUUGGUCAAUGGGCGAGAGUCUGAACCAGCCAAGUCGCGUGAAGGAUGAAGGUUUUAUGAAUUGUAAACUUCUUUUGCAGGGGAAUAAAGUACGGUACGUGUACCGUUUUGUAUGUACUCUGCGAAUAAGGAUCGGCUAACUCCGUGCCAGCAGCCGCGGUAAUACGGAGGAUCCAAGCGUUAUCCGGAUUUAUUGGGUUUAAAGGGUGCGCAGGCGGGUUGAUAAGUCAGCGGUGAAAGUUUGCAGCUUAACUGUAAAAUUGCCGUUGAAACUGUCGAUCUUGAGUGCAAAUGAGGUAAGCGGAAUGUGUUGUGUAGCGGUGAAAUGCUUAGAUAUAACACAGAACACCGAUUGCGAAGGCAGCUUACUGGGAUGCAACUGACGCUCAUGCACGAAAGCGUGGGGAUCAAACAGGAUUAGAAACCCGAGUAGUCC
rnacentral:rRNA from 1 species